UACGUAGGGUGCAAGCGUUGUCCGGAAUUAUUGGGCGUAAAGCGCGUGUAGGCGGCAUAGCAAGUCGGGUGUGAAAGCCCUCAGCUCAACUGAGGAAGUGCGCCCGAAACUGCUGUGCUUGAGUGCCGGAGAGGAUGGCGGAAUUCCCCAAGUAGAGGUGAAAUUCGUAGAUAUGGGGAGGAACACCGGUGGCGAAGGCGGCCAUCUGGACGGUAACUGACGCUGAGACGCGAAAGCGUGGGGAGCAAACAGG
rnacentral:rRNA from 1 species